GGCUUUACCGUUCAGCAGUUUAAUAUAACAUCUCCCUCUACUGGCCAGCUGAAGUAAUGCUGGCCAGUAUAGUUUGGGAUCACGCAAAUCUCUCGUCCGUGUAUCUACAAAGAGGUUUCGUUUGAGCCUGGACAGACCUUCUACAGGGGUUGUAACAAGUGCAACUGCCACGAAAAUGGCUACUUGUCUCUCACCGAUGAAACCUACCACAUGGCCCAACAAGUGCCAGCGGGUUCCAACGGAGUUUGGCUACCGCGUGGUUUAUAAAGAGGUCCCGGAGGUGGAGUGUCAAGCCUACAGCUGGUGGGACCGAAGGACCUCAAUUGGCACGGAUUCCAAAUGGGCAUAGAUUCAAAUUCCUAUAGAUUCUCAAACACAAGUACCAUAAAAAGUAGCAACAUACUCUGACUGUACACUAGUGUCCUAUCAUCCAAUAUGAGUGCUCAGCUUCCUGCCCUCCUCUCCUUACUUUAGUGACCACUGAUCUUGAUCACAUCGACAGUCAUUAUUUUUUGGUACACAAAAAGUACAUUACAUUUCCAAUGGAAAGCUGUGGUUCCCCUGCAGCAUUGCAGAGGCAGUUGCAGUGCUUCAUGUAUAAAUUCGAUUUGUCGAACGUAUGUGUAACGACCCUGGGUUUAUAAUCGCGGAAAUCGACUGUGAUAGAGUUGUAACGCCUUGAUCACACCGAUAGUGUUAUAGCGCAAAAUAGUAAGCGGCAUCAUCUGGAUUUGUGUGCAACAAAGGUUCAACAGGAACUUUCUGCUACCAUUUCUGUCGAGGAGUCUGACGCAGUUUGACGCAUACGUUCGAUAAAUCCAAUUUAUGCAUCACACAAAACACACUAACGGCCUCUGCAAUUCUGCAAAGCAAACAGCGUUCCAUUGGAAAGGAAUGUACUUCUGGUGUACCAAAAUGCAAUGACGGCGUGAUCGAGGCAUAAGCGGCCAACUGAGUAGUUUGAUGAGGACUCCGACCAUAUGUCAAUAUUGUAUCACCUGUUGUUUACGAAGCAUGUGACAAAUAAAAGUUUGAUUUGACCUUGUGACAAGACAAACGGCGUGCCAUCUUGGGUGAUCCCAAGAUGGCGUAGCAGUAGGUCGUCCUGUCCUGUCGUGUCCCUGUAUA